ACGAUCCAAAAACCUAAUUCAGCAUUGAAAAUAUAAGCUUCCAACCUCUAACCUGGAACAUUCUGUCUCAGAAAGGACAGUGUGUACACUUGAAUGGAAAGACCAGAUCCUGGUGCUUUCCCACAAGAAGUUGCUGAAUGUGGCUACCUGGAAGGACAACCAAAGAGGGCUGCCAGAGAGGAGGCCACUACCAAUUAGUCAAGCAACCUCAGCUGCAUCAUCACAAGCAUCUGUAGUAUGGAGGUCUGGUAAACACGGUGUGGGCCUCUUCCUUCCCUGGAUGCCACCAUCAAGUGAGAUAUAGGUCGUUCACAUCACUGUGUGAACCUAGAAUUCCUCUGCAGGUGCUUUUCCAGGUGUGGAGUCCCUCCCUCCAAAAGAGGUUAGCAACUGGUCAGACUUUCAGUGCAUUUUACUUCUGCUAGCCUGUGCUUUGAGUAGGUCCAAUUCAGUGCUACUAGGUAUGUAUGAUGCCUACAGACUUUACCGUAACUUUUACAGAUGGUAUGGGCACUGAGAGUAUGUAACCCCACAAAGCAUUUUAAAUUAGUUACAUAUGUUCUCACUUAUGACCUAUUUGCUGUCUCCUCUGUCUGUCUCUUAUUUUCUCAGUUUCUGUAUCUGUCUGUUACAGCUUGUCUCUGUCUCUGCAUUUGUUUCUGACUCUCUUCUGUUCUCUUUCUCUUUUCCUCUGGGUCUCUGUCUCUGUUUUUCUGUCUUUCUGUCUCUCUCUGCUCUCUGUCUUUUUCUCUCUUUGUCUCUCUCUGUGUCUCUCUUCUCCC
rnacentral:lncRNA from 1 species